rnacentral:rRNA from 1 species
GAUGAACGCUGGCGGCGUGCCUAAUACAUGCAAGUCGAGCGAACAGACGAGGAGCUUGCUCCUCUGACGUUAGCGGCGGACGGGUGAGUAACACGUGGAUAACCUACCUAUAAGACUGGGAUAACUUCGGGAAACCGGAGCUAAUACCGGAUAAUAUAUUGAACCGCAUGGUUCAAUAGUGAAAGACGGUUUUGCUGUCACUUAUAGAUGGAUCCGCGCCGCAUUAGCUAGUUGGUAAGGUAACGGCUUACCAAGGCAACGAUGCGUAGCCGACCUGAGAGGGUGAUCGGCCACACUGGAACUGAGACACGGUCCAGACUCCUACGGGAGGCAGCAGUAGGGAAUAUUCCGCAAUGGGCGAAAGCCUGACGGAGCAACGCCGCGUGAGUGAUGAAGGUCUUCGGGUCGUAAAACUCUGUUAUUAGGGAAGAACAAAUGUGGAAGUAACUAUGCACGUCUUGACGGUACCUAAUCAGAAAGCCACGGCUAACUACGUG